rnacentral:tRNA from 1 species
GGUGGCUCAGUGGUAAGAGCGCUUGUCUUGCAUGCCUGAGUCCCUGGGUUCGAUUCCCAGCACCA